UCCAUACAUGCAUACAAAAUAUUUUAAUUUCCCAUAUAAGAUGCUAUAUAUCUUCAUAUACUAGAUCCAAUUAUUUGUUUUCCAAAUAUAUGGAGAAGUUUAUGUGUGAAUAUGUGACAGACUUAUAUGUAGUCUCUAUGUAUGGUGGCAUACAUAUCCAUACACUAGAUUCCACUACUUAUUUUCUAAAUAUAUGGAGAACUUUAUGUGUGAAUAUGUGGCAGACAUAUUUGUAGUCUCCAUAUAUGGUGGCAUACAUAUCCAUACACUAGAUUACAUUACUUAUUUUCCAAAUGGAGAACAGUGUGAAUAUAUUUGUUUAUGUCUUGGCGUCACAGAUAAGGUGUCGACUAUGCUGCCUUAUGUGUCAAUGUUUUGUGUGGAGCGCUUUGGGUUGCACUAUGUGCAUGAAAAAUGUGUGAGGCCAAAGCUACUUUAAAUAUAACGGAUGCUUAUCGCAUCUUGAUAUGCGCAUGCGCACACAGCAAUACCCAUCCCCCACCCUGGUCUGACAUUUGAACUCCAACCACGGUGACUUCAACCGUCACUUUUUGUCAUGCAUCCGACUGUGUAGCCUAAGCUGUACAAACUCUGCUUUUAUCAUAUCCAAGGUGGUGAUUUGUGAGGACUGCUGCCCUGAGAACACGGAGUACAUUCUGCAUAUGCCAAAUCAAUGUGUGCCACUUCCAUAAAGGGGAAAAAAGUUUCUACCUGGAGAGUGUACUCACUGUUUGUGUAGAAAAACUAAACUUUAAUAAAAGGUUAAACAAA